rnacentral:rRNA from 1 species
CUAGUCUGGGGGCUGCAGCGCGGGUUGGUGUCCCCGGAUCGCCUCUCGGUGUAGAAGCUGGUCAUCUCUCCGACCCGUCUUGAAACACGGACCAAGGAGUUUAGCGUAUGCGCGAGUCAUUGGGUGUUAAAACUCACAGGCGCAAUGAAAGUGAAGGCUCGGUCGCC